rnacentral:pre_miRNA from 1 species
UUUUGCUUGGUUCAGUACCCGACUACAUAUCUAUGAAAAAGAUAUAGCCGGGUACUUUACCAGCACUGCAGCACCU